UAAAAUAAUUAAGGGCACACAAAGGAUGCCUAGGUAGUAAGAGCCGAUGAAGGACGUGGUAAGCUGCGAUAAGCCUAGAUAAGUUGCAAUCGAACGUAAGAGUCUAGGAUUUCCGAAUGGAGCAAUCUAUUAAGAUGGAGUCUUAAUACGAAAGAGGGAACCGCGUGAACUGAAACAUCUAAGUAACGCGAGGAAAAGAAAGUAAAAACGAUACCCAAAGUAGCGGCGAGCGAAAUGGGUCAAGCCUAAACCUUAAAUAUGUCAAGGAUACAGCCGUUGUAUUUAAGGGGUUGAGGGACAGAGUGAUGAAGAACUGUAAGAUAUUCAAUAUAGUGUAUUGAUGAAUUAGAAUUGUCUGGAAAGGUGAACCGCAGAAGGUGAAAGUCCUGUAUAAGUAAAUCCUUACACAUAUAACUUUGCUCCCAAGUAACAUGGAACACGAGGAAUUCUGUGUGAAUCAGUGAGGACCAUAUCUCAUAAGGCUAAAUACUCUUACUAACCGAUAGCGCAUAGUACCGUGAGGGAAAGGUGAAAAGAACCCCUGGAGGGGAGUGAAAUAGAACCUGAAAUUGUGUGCUUACAAGCGGUCAGAGCCCAUUUGGGUGAUGGCGUGCCUUUUGGAGAAUGAUCCUGCGAGUUACGUUAAACGGCGAGGUUAAGUAUAACGGAGCCGAAGGGAAACCAAGUCUUAAUAGGGCGAUUUAGUCGUUUGGCGUAGACGCGAAACCUGGUGAUCUAAACCUGUCCAGGAUGAAGCUGUGGUAAGACACAGUGGAGGUCCUAACCCACCGCCGUUGAAAAGUUGGGGGAUGAGGUAGGUUUAGGGGUGAAAAGCCAAUCGAACCAGGAGAUAGCUCGUUCUCUCCGAAAUGCAUCUAGGUGCAGCCUUGAGUGUUCAAUUAUGGGGGUAGAGCACUGAAUGAUCUAGGGGGCAUAUUGCUUACUGAAAUCAAUCAAACUCCGAAUACCAUAAUUUAUAGCUCAGGAGUGAGACUAUGGGAGUUAACUUCCAUUGUCAAAAGGGAAACAACCCAGACCACCAGCUAAGGUCCCUAAUUAUAACUAAGUGGGAAAGGAGGUGGAGAUUCACAAACAACUAGGAGGUUGGCUUAGAAGCAGCCAUACCUUUAAAGAGUGCGUAAUAGCUCACUAGUCGAGAGUCUCUGCGCCGACAAUGUAACGGGGCUAAGUUAUAAACCGAAGCUGUGGAAUCCUUAUGGAUUGGUAGGAGAGCGUUCUGUAGGCCGUUGAAGAAGAAGGGUAACCAACUUUGGAGGUAUCAGAAGUGAGAAUGCAGGAAUAAGUAGCGAGAAAGGGGGCGAGAAUCCCCCUCGCCGGAAGACCAAGGUUUUCAGGGUAAAGCUUGUCUUCCCUGAGUAAGCCGGGACCUAAGCCCAGGCUAUAAUGCGUAGGCGAAUGGAAAACAGAUUAAUAUUUCUGUGCCAGUCAUUUAUUGUGAUGGAGGGACGCAGAAGGGUAUGUGCGCGGACGAUCGGUUGUGUCCGUAGAAGUAUGUAGGGUGACUUAGUAGGUAAAUCCAUUAAGUUAUAUCUGAGGUAUGAUAUACAGUCGUAAGAUGAAUGCGCAAAUCCCACGCUGCCAAGAAAAGCUUCUAACGUUAAUAUAUGACUGCCCGUACUGUAAACCGACACAGGUGGUCAGGAUGAGAAAUCUAAGGCGGACAGGCUAACUCUCGUUAAGGAACUCUGCAAAAUAACCUCGUAACUUCGGGAGAAGAGGAGCCCUUGGGUGUUAGUAUCCACGCGAUACAAAGCGCUCGAGGGUCGCAGUGAAGAGGCUCAAGCAACUGUUUAACAAAAACACAGGUCUAUGCUAAGCUGGAAGGCGAUGUAUAUGGGCUGACACCUGCCCAGUGCUGGAAGGUUAAGAGGAGGAGUGAGAGCUCCGAAUUGAAGCCCCAGUGAACGGCGGCCGUAACUAUAACGGUCCUAAGGUAGCGAAAUUCCUUGUCGGGUAAG
rnacentral:rRNA from 1 species